ACCUUUCGCGAUUAACCAUCCGAUCAUGCAAUCGCGUUGCAGUCUCCCGCCUCAGGGCUCCCAAGGAAAGGCAUAUAAUCAAGUAGCAAGUUGCAAGGCAAGACAAAAAAGAUGAUAGCACUGUUCUUUCACAGGACAAAGUUCUCAGGUUUUCUCUUCGGUUUUAUCUUUCUCGUUGUGAUAGCCUAUCGUUGGAUUUCUCGAAGGAGACAUGCUAUAGAUAAUUUGACGCAUCUAAUGGAUAACUUGUUCAGAUGCUUAUUGGCAUCCACAGAUUUGAAACUUGUCUGCAUUUUCGAUGUCACUACUGUUUUUUAUAUCACAACUAGGUUGUUCCCAUUGUAUUUUAGUCUACUAUUCUCAUGACACUAUCUGCGAGCCUGCAAGGCAACUAGACAAAAACAAAUGGUUUGUUUCAUCCCCUUAAGAACAUAAAUUUUCUUUCUACCUAAUAUAUCUAAUUAAUGAAGUUCAACAGUAAGAACAAUGUGGGUAGGGGCAUAAACUUGUGUUAGGUCUCUUAUAUUUAACAUGCAUUGAUUGUUUUCCAGAUCAGUUGUUAUGGCACCAUUAUAGAACUAGAAAGGCUUCACUAAUGGACAGGUUCUGGAGGUGUUGUCACCCAAUAAGAUCCAUUCCUAGAGUGUGAUCUACUGCAUCAUCACUACAAUUUAUGAUGUUCCUACUGGCAUCAUCUCCUACUGUUGCAGGAUUCCUUGUGCUCAAAGUGUUUCCAUGGCACUUUAAGGGGACUGAAUUAAUUGUGACCAACUGGGAAGGAGGCUGUAAUACUAUUUGUGCAAAAUGUAAGUUUUUUUUUUCAACCAUCAACUGUAAAUUAAAAAUAUUGUUUGAAAACAGUAAUCUGUAAAAAUCAGCUCCCC